ensembl:lncRNA
GUCAGUAGGCCUGCCCGUGUGCAUGCGCAUGCUCACCUCGCAGGGCCUGCUUGCUCCUUGCACACUCGGACCCCUGUGUAUGCCUUGCACGUCUGUGCGCCCUUGCUCUGCUCUGGCAAGCCCAUGCCCAACUUUCGGAGAGAUAUCAUAGGUCCUGAUGUGACCUGGUAUGUCCCCUGCUCGCCCAUGCCUGCCUCUUGUAAACUUAGCCCACACAUGGAUGCACAUCCCUUGUGCAUGCAGCAAAGCUUUUUGUGCCCACACUGGCUGCUCACACACCAUGCCUACCCCUUGCACAUGCCCCAGGAGCACUGGCAUGCUCUUAUAGCCAUGACCAGCCACACCCAUACUCCUCGUGAACUUGAACAUAUAUGAUUAUACACCCCUUGCUCAUCUCCCCAGAAACCCCUAGUGUGCCUGCACUUGGCCCUGGCUAGCCAGUGUCUACACUUUCACACACACACUUUGGGGCUCUGGGGUACCCUGGGAUGCUGGCCCAGCCCAUACCAGACACAUGUGCUCAAAUGCCUUUUUUUUUUUCUUUUUUUUUUUUUUUAGGCAGGGUCUCCCUAUGUAGCUCAGGCUGGCCUUAAACUCACUAUGAAGCCCAGGCUGGCCUGGAAAUUCACAGAGAGCCUCCUGCCACAGCCUCCCAAGUCUUGGGAUCACAGGCGUGUGCCACUAUGCCUGGUUCCCAAAAACCUUCCGAGGCCUAAGCACAUGAUGUCACCCUCACGUAUUCUGGGCCAACAUGUGGGUGCCCACCUCUUGCACACUCACCCUAAGGAUGCCAGUGUCCCCUUAUGCAGUCCUGGUGUGUCUCAUUUAUCCAUCCUCCCUGUAUCCCUGCCACAACUAUGAUUACCCAGGCACACUUGGAUCGGCCUCCCAAACACACCCACCAGAAGCCCCACUGUCCUCAACAGCCCAGCCUACUUCUUACUCUGCCAUGCCCAGCCCACAAACACAUGAAUGUCCCUGACACACUCACAGGCCCCAAGAGUACACUCAUGGCCAGCCAUGGUGCUCUAAUCCUAGCACUCUGAGAGGCUCAGGCUUGAAGAUCAUCAAAUUCAAGCUCAGCUUGGGCAAUUUAGUGACUUGGUAAGAACCUGUCUCAAAAUUUAAAAUUUUUUCUUUUAUUUAUUUUUGAGCCAGGCUCUCACUAUGUAGCCCAGGCUGGCCUUGAGCUUGCCACAAUCCUCCUGCCACAGCCUCCUGAGUGCUGGGAUUGUAGGGGUGCACAACCACACCCAGUGUCAAAAUUUUAAAACAGGCCUGGGAUGUAGCUCAAUGCGAAGGCCCUGGGUUCAAUCCCCAGUACCACAAAACGCACUCACAUGACCCUGCCCUUGUGCACUUAGCUUACUGUGGUUCCCACCCCCCUCCUCGGACACUCCCCCCAGUCCUCACACUCUCAGCCCUGAGCCCUGCUCUGUCGCCCUGUGGCCCUCUUGUGUCCUCGCACCCUGCACAACAAGCCUGCACACCCCUUGCAAGCCUUUGCACUCAUACCUCCCUUUUGCUCCUCAUACACCCCCAGCAUCUGCACACUCCUCUCUGCACAUAUGCUCUUGCACACUCCUUCCUGUGUCACACUCAGCCCACAGGGCUUGCACACUCAUUACCUCCUUAACCAUUGAGCCCCUUGUACUCUCCUCGGUGGACACUGGCUCCCGCACACAUGGACACCUGUCUCACAUAGAGCCCUAUCCUCAUCCUCGGGCCUCUCUUACACUGGCCCCUGGUCCCCUUGCACACUCACAUUCCCCCAUCCAUGCAUCAUCUCAGGCCCUCAAAUGCCUGCCCCACGGGCCCAUGUCCUCUGUGCACAUGGAGCCAUGCCCUCCUCACACCAUUCCUCCCCUAGUUCCUGGUGCCCCUCAUAUUCCACAGGGGCCCUCAAGAGCUUGCACACACCCCGGGUCCCUUGGGCACCAGGCACACUCACUUGUCAUCUGGGCUGUGUGUGGCUGCAUUAUCCUUACACCCAGGAAGUCUGCACAUCUUCGCACCUGCAGGAAGCCCUGCACUUCCAUCCUUGUCACAACGUGGGAACUCUGCCCCUCCCACUGCCCCUGCCCCUCAUUUGCCCUCAAGGGCACACAUUCCCUUCCUGUCAUUCCUCCAGGCACCCACUCCUCCUGCCAACCCUUUCCAUUCCCGCUGUCCCGAGGUCCUCAGCAUCCAGGUGCAUCCACGUGGGCAUGGAGCACUUGUGGGCCGGCACAGUAGCAACACCUCAUGGAAUUUAUUAGGUGCAGCAUGCUCUUCUAAUCACUCAGCAUCUUAUUUAAUCCUCACCCCCCUGUAACAUAUGAGGCAUUAUUAUGCCCCGUUUUGCAGGGGGGGAGAUACUGAGGCCCAGAGAGUUAAGUCAAAAUCACACAGCUAAGUGACAGGAUUAGGAUUUGAACCAGAGCACCCUGUGUGUGCAGAACUUUUGUUCUCAGCCACUCUGCUUGCGCAUUCUGGCAAAAACUAAAAUCAUGAUUCUAAAGCCAGCGCGUUGAGUUUGACUCCUACAUCUGUCACUUCUCAACUGUGACAUCCUGGGCAGGUGACUUUCUGGGCUUUCAUUUCUCUGUCUGUAAAGUCGAGAUUACAGCCCUUGCUCCAAAGGUGCUGUGAAGAUUAAAUGAGUUGUAUGUAAAAAAUGCUUGAUUCAAGAUCUAAUUGAAGCUUACAAGACCACCUACAGGGAGGGCUACAUAGGUUUGCUAUUAGUAUUUUUUAGGCUGAGUAUGGUGGCUCACGUAUAGUUCCAGCUGCUUGAGAGACAGGAGGAUCGCUUGAAGCCAGGAGUCUGAGGCCAUCCUGAGCAACAUAGAGACCCGAACUCCUAAUAGUAAUGGUGAAGGAGUCCAAGCGCCAGUUCAUCUUCGACGUGGUGAACGAGGGCGGCGAGUCGGAGAAGAUGGAGCUCUUCGUGAGCUUCUGCGAGGACACCAUCUUCGAGAUGCAGAUCGCUGCGCAGAUCUCAGAGCCCGAGGGCGAGCCCGAGGAGGACGAGGAUGAGGGCGCGGCCGAGGCGGGCGCAGAGGCCGUGGAGGAGGGCGCGGGGGUUGCGGAGGGCGCGGCGAGCACGGCGGCGGCGGGGGCCAAGGCGCGGCUG